rnacentral:snRNA from 1 species
AUCGCUUCUCAGCCUUUUGGCUAAGAUCAAGUGUACAACCUGUUCUUAUCAGUUUAACAAAUCUUUAAUAGCCACUACUUGUC